UACGUAGGGUGCGAGCGUUGUCCGGAAUUAUUGGGCGUAAAGAGCUCGUAGGCGGUCUGUCGCGUCGAUCGUGAAAACUUGGGGCUUAACCCUGAGCUUGCGGUCGAUACGGGCAUGACUGGAGUACUGCAGGGGAGACUGGAAUUCCUGGUGUAGCGGUGAAAUGCGCAGAUAUCAGGAGGAACACCGGUGGCGAAGGCGGGUCUCUGGGCAGUAACUGACGCUGAGGAGCGAAAGCGUGGGGAGCGAACAGG
rnacentral:rRNA from 1 species